CCUUAAGUGGGGAAUAACGCAUCGAAAGAUGUGCUAAUACCGCAUAUCUCUCAGGAGGAAAGCAGGGGAUCGAAAGACCUUGCGCUAAAGGAGCGGCUGAUGUCUGAUUANCUAGUUGGUGGGGUAAAGGCUUACCAAGGCAACGAUCAGUAGCUGGUCUGAGAGGACGACCAGCCACACUGGGACUGAGACACGGCCCAGACUCCUACGGGAGGCAGCAGUGGGGAAUUUUGGACAAUGGGCGAAAGCCUGAUCCAGCCAUGCCGCGUGAGUGAAGAAGGCCUUCGGGUUGUAAAGCUCUUUUAGUCGGAAAGAAAGAGUCAUAGUAAAUAGCUAUGAUUUAUGACGGUACCGACAGAAAAAGCACC
rnacentral:rRNA from 1 species